UUGUCGGGGUCUCUGUUGGAGAGGAAAGCGUUAAGGCGAGGUAGCGACCAGCAAACCCUGCUAGAGAUACAAGCAUCGCAGUCUGUACUCACAUGUUGAGGGACUUGGCUGCCUCGUAGACGCCAACCGUAAUGCAGCCCUGAGGCAAGGCAGAGAACUCACCCCAACUGCCGGUCCAGAACGGCUAUAACCUUCAGCACAGCCUCAUAGCAACGGGACGCUUCCCGGAAGACCUGUCCUCUGAUUGGUCUGUCGUGGAGAAUGCGAAUCCCCUCCCGGAAGCAGCGCGCGAGAUACAAGGUACUGGCGCGAGAGUGACCGGAAGAUGGAGCUGAGCUCAAAGAAAACUGAAAACACAAAACUUCGAAACAUGUGGAAAAACCGGCUCAAUAAAACCCAUUCUGCAAAAAUGCUUCUGUAGAGUCAUUUCCCAUGCUCUUCUUUAUUGAUAGUUUUUAUUUUCUUUUAAAAAUGCAUGUUCAAAGAAUGCAAUAUAUUCUUUGAACAUGUAAGAGGAUCAGCAUCACAAUGAAAUGACAUGUUUUGGUAUUUGGCUCUAUAUAAAUAUACUGAUACUCAAAAAGCUCAAAUGAAAUACAAAACCAGCAUACAAAGUGUUGCACGACCUUUUCUGUUGUUGAGCUAUUCUGGUUUGACUGUAACAUGUAAAAUUUUAUAUUUCACCCUAACUCAAAAUAUGAACCAACACAAGGAUACAAGAAUAAAGACUAAGAUAUACUGAGGAUCUAAAGAAAACAAUAAACUAUGCUGCCCCCUAGUGUUUUAAUUAAUAGUAAGCCAAAAUUACCAGGGUUCUUGUUCCAAGAAGAAAACCAGUGUGAUUCAUCAAUUGAUAAUUAGCAGAUUAACAACACAUGUUAAUAUAAAUUCAUAUUAAUAUGUAUAGCAUGUAUUACUAAUAUCAGUCAGUCUGGCCACUCAUAUCUUGAAUUUUCAAACAUUGAAUCAACAUGUUCUAAGGGAGGUUGUGUAUUACUGUGGACAUGUAAUAAUGAGAAACACAAUUUCAGAGGUGCAAAUAAUUAUCUUUUUUCUCUCAUAUUUGGUCGUUAUUAAGUUUUAUAUGCAAGACAGACAUAUUGGAUUUCUAGUUUGCAGUGCCUGAAAACCCUCAUUCUUUAAUCUGGUUUGACUAUCUUGUCCUUGUUGCCGCCCACUGUGGACUUUCCCUCUCAUCUUCCUCUUUUCCACACUCCACCUGUUGCCUUUUCUCUGGUGUUAAUGUCUGAUGUUUUUGAAAUUAAGCUUUUACCUGUUUGGCAAGCUGAGGGAUCCGUUCAAUCACUUGGUUCAAGUGAUCAAGGUGUGGUCAUUUGAAAAGCUUGUUAUUUGAAAGAGACAAACUAGUAAAAGUGUUGUAGUUUCUGUAUGUUUGUUGUUCUGCACUGUAUGUAGGAUUCAGCUAAAGAUGCUGAUUUAGGGGUCUGUUUGCUACUGAAAUGUGAUAUAUCACUAAUAGCGGAGGACAUCUUGUUUUAGUGUAUUUGCAAACCUAAAAAACUAAUAAAGUGAUCUAAACUGUUCUGAAUGAAGGCAGUUUUAGUAUGUUCCAGCAGGAGGCGUAACACAACCAAUUUCUCAGCUUCUACUUCUGUAGUCCUUGCCCUCUCUCUGCUUUGCAUUAAAAACACACCUCCAUCUGUUUACAUUAACAUCAACAUUUAAUAUACGGUUGGAAUCAGUAGUUUAUAUACACCAAAUAAAAUACCUUUUUUUUAUUAUUGCCUGAAGUCAAAUCAGAACAAACAUCUCUUGUUUCAGGUCAGCUAGAACGACCAAAAUUAUUUCUCUUUGCUAGACGCCACAAUAAUGAGAGAAAGAAUAUGUCAGGAGUUUAUUUAUUUCUAUCUUCUAAAUCAUAAGUUUACAUCCAUUUGGUAGCAUUACCUUUGAACUGCAUGACUUCAGUCAAGCCUGUUGGCUUCCUUCCACCAGCUUCUCACAGUAGUUUGCUGGAGUUCUGGUCAUUCCUCAUGACAGAAACGAUGGAAGGGAGUCAGGUUUAAAGGACACCUUCUACACAACUUUUCAGACCAAUUCUCUAAAGGACUGAGAUCAAGGCUUUGUGGUGGCCACUAAAAAACAUUAUCGUCAUUGUCUUUAAGCUACAUUUUAACCACUUCCUGUAAGCUUAGGGUCAUGGUCCAUCUGGAAGACGCAUUUGCUCCAACCGAGCAUAGAUGGCUUACAUAGAACGGUCCAGACUGGGAGUCAGCUGCUGGGUGUGUUCGGUUGUGUACAUAGGUGAUGUUUUUAUGGAAGGAGCAUUCAUUACAUUAAAUCAUGAGAUACUUCUUUUGAGAUAGUCAUUGUUUAAAUCUCAAUGUGAUUUGAUCUAAUGGUUUUUGAUCACCUACUUGCUUUUUAUUUUGUCCUUUAGAUCUUGCCAUAUUUUCUAUGGCAAUCUAUAUUCUGUUCAUUAUUGUUAGUAUUGCUGAUGUUGUUAGUGCAUUCCUUUGUGUUUGCUUUCUUUUUUCGUGUAUUAUGUUUCUUUGUGGUUUUGGAUGUCGUUUCUGCAGUUGCGGCUUGUCCACUAGAGGGAGGCAGAGGUCAGAUAUCGGAACAAACCUUCCCGUUUUCAGCAGUUGUGAGAGAAACAUCUGGAUCAGCGCAGACCAGCGAGUUUAACGGCUCUGAAAUAUUUGGAAGAUGUAAAAUAUCUUCAAGAGUUAAUUCAUAGCAAAUCAGGCUUAUUGGGGCAGAAUUAGAAACUUAUUUAUUAGUAUAAAUCGUAAUUGAAAUUUUUCAGGAAAAUUAUUAAAUACUCUGGGAAACAUAUUUGUAAAAUAAAUAAAUUAAUGACUUAAUGAAAAAAUAUCUGCAGUCUUAGAAAAGCAGUAGUCUUAAAAGCUAAAAUCAGUAAUGAUUAAUGUGCAUGGUAUAAAUAAAAAGCAAAAGGAAUAAAGUGGCCUAAAUUAUAACUAAAAACUGUGAGUUUGAUCUAGUUUGAUGUGAAGAAACCUGAGAACGACAAGGAUGUGAUUUAUGACGAUGAACAUGUUUAGCUUUAACUGGACAGUGAACACAUGGCAAAACAAUCAAGGUUUGACUUAAAUAUAUUUAGCAUUCAUGUCUAUAGCAACAGAAAAUGCCUCAGAGAACUAGACUAUAAUCAAAUGCUUAACUUAGUUCAGUAAUUCAUCUAAAAAAAUCAUACAGAAUUAUUAUUCACUGAAAUAUUUCAAGCAUUUGUUUCUGUUCUUUGUGUCUUGCAGCUUCUGAAAACCCCAAAUUCAGUUUUUCCUGAAAAUUUUACUAUCAUAUUAGAUUAGAAUAAAAUAAAGAGAUUUAAAUAGAGAACAUAUAUGGUGUACACACUCAGGGGAAAUACUGCAGACAUGGCAGCUGCACAUGAACAGUUUGCUUCAUGAAGGAAAGCCACAUAUAAUAAAUGGUUAAUAUAUAAGCGGGGUAGCAUACUGUAUCAUUUUAUUUCUCUUUUGCAAUAGCAAUAUUCUAUUAUGUCAGAAAAAAACUUGCUGUUGAGAGUGCUAUUUCCAGGUAUUUUAAUGGAAAGUUUUGUGGAAGGAAAAACUCUGGCAGCUGUUUGUUUGGUUUUUUUGGAUUCCCAUUGGCGUAAUUACGGCUACUCUUCAUACUCUUCUACAGAUGAAGGAAGUUUUUUCAUUCAUGUUAAAACAUGCCUUGGAUUAAAAAUCUGUAAACUUUGGGUAAAUUCUGUAAAGUUGGUAAUAUAAAACAUUUGGUAUCUUGGAUAUUACAAUAUUUCUAAAAGGGCUUAAAAGAGUAAUUUUAGUCUAUUCAAAAGAUUGGGGAAAGAUUCACAAGGCACGAGAUGGAACUAGAGUUUAAACAAGGCAACAUGAACCGAUGUGUCCAGAAAACAGGUUUGCAACUGUCACAUUCCAAGUAAUAAGUCACAGUGCAGUAUUUGACUUUCAUUCAAAAUAUGUUUUUUUCCAUAUUUGUUAAAACAGUCACCAUGAAACAUAAUAUGAAACAGCUAAUGUGUGAAAAGAUUGAUUUCCUCCACCUCUUCCCUGAGCUGCUCCUGCCACCGAAGAAAUGCAUCACUACCCAACCAAAAACAACCAAUGAGAGUCAGGAGGAGGGGCUAAGUGCUGUCAAUCAAUCUCAUGUUGUCACUGCUAAAUGUGUCAAUAGUGGAGAAGCAACUCACCGUUAUCGGAACUGUUUAUCCAUCGUCAUCUGUUUCCAUGUUAACUAGUGACAGAAUCUGCUGAUGGGAAGAUACUACAUGGUAGCAGAGAUCAAGGCGGGGGGCAUGAUUGACAGCAGUAAGACCCUCCUACUGUCUCUGAUUGGUUGUUUGUAGCUGAGAACACUGGGAGAAAGAAAAGUAACUUGAUUUUUUCACAGAUUAUCUGUCUCACACCAUUCUGUCUGACAUGGUGGCAGUUUCAACAACUAUAUAUAAACAUU